UUUAUAUGAGAGUACUAGUAGGGAAAUUGCUCAGAGGUUGGCAGUAUGUUGCGGAAUAGUAUUUAGUUAAUCCUGACACAGGAAGAGCAUGUUAGCAAAGAAACAGAACAAUGUUGUUUUUUACGUUAUUAUUAUGAUUUUCAGAGAUGACAUGAUCCAGACCACAGAACUGUAGUAGGCAUUGUUUAGGGACCUUCCGGAAAACACAAGACAAAAUGAAACUGCUGUGUCCUUCUGUAUCUGGAAAGAACGGGGAAUGAGGGUGCAGCCUCUCUGAACUGUAAAUGCUUCUCACCAGGAGGAGUCAAUUAAAUACACAGUCAACAUAUGGAAACAUGGGAUUGCGCCUCAGUGAAUGAAGAGGUGACGUGCGUGCGCACACACACACACACACACACACACACACACACACUGGAAUAUUAUUCAGCUAUGAGAAAGAAGGAAAUCCUGUCAUUUGUGACCACACAGAUGGACCUUGAAGGCAUUAUGCUGACUGAGUCUUCUGCAAAUCCCCACGAAACAGCACAAGAGAAUGAAAUCGUCAAACCCCCGGAUCUUGCAUCAACACCGAAUACAGUUCUGUGCCCUCUCACUCGACAUAGUAAAACCAAACGGCUAGAAUC